AACACAAACUCGAGGCAGAGGCAGAGCUCAAAUCGCAGCUGCGGCAGACUGUUGCCUGUGAUAGGGGAGUUUAGCAGACGAUUCUUGUGAAGUUACUUUUGAUUUGCUUAAUUGUCGCUGCGAGAGUAGUGAUUUCCCUCAGUGAGACCUAUGGUCCCCGGGCGUUUGAGGCUUUUAAUCUCCUCGUUAGAGGCUUGCAAUUUCUCCUAGUUAACGACCUUUUAUAUCCCACCGUAAGAGACUUAAACUAUGGUCACUUAACUUCCUUUGGGCUUCAGUUUAGUGUAGCGCUGACCACGGAUUCGAAGAGGAAAUUGUGGUUCUUGUGUCAAUUAGCCUGUACGUUAAUUUUAGCAACAUGUUCAAGAGGCUAUGCGUUCCUCCAGCUCAAAAUGGUAUUGACAUUCCCUGUACGUGGCAUUUGGUGACGAUUUCGUUAAACCAUCAGUCGUCUUUGUGGUGUGAAUCGAAUAGGUCAAGAUAUAUUUACCACUUGUAAGGACUUUCGGUAAGAGAACUGGAGGUCUUCUGAUGACGGGCAGACAUCUUGUUUUAAUGGCACUGGUAUGAAUACCACGUGUAUAUUGUAUUUUUGCUGUCGUAUUGAAGAAAGGAGGCAAAGAUGAUUUGACAGACAAAAGAUCUAUAACCAUGGAUACAAGCCAAAACAGAGUACGUAGUUAUCAAGUUCUUAAACCAAAAAAGAUACUACUGCUGACUUCCAAACAGGGCUCAGAAGUGUGAUGAGAUGCCAAAACAAAACUGAUUGUGUGAAAAGUUUAAAAGGUAAAACCAGCAUUCAAGACUUGGGAACACAAGAGAACAAGAAAGAUCCCCCAUCUAUCUGCCUACCAAACAAGAUUUGACGAGCCAUCUAACUGACACCGAGAAAAACAUGCCACUUCGGAGGCUGUAACUCCAAAGGUGGACAAGACUGUUCAAAGCUUCUCAACCAAAGUGGGUUGAUCAAUCCUCUUUGGUCUUAAAACCUGGAAAAGGCCAAAUGAUACCCUUUCACUGCAGAAACUGAAAUGCAUGUAGUGAUGAAGGUGUAUGAAGAAAUCGGACAACUGCUGGACAGAUAUACCAAUUGGAAAGAUUUCCCUUCUCUAGCACCAAUCACGGGUGGAUGAGGAAUUCUGCAAUCCACUGGAAAGAUACUCCCACCAGAGAGAUACCUCUUCUACAAGCCCCAUCACAGAUGGCCCACUACAUAAAAAAACUUUAAGGAAAAAACAUCCUGGGACACGCAGACAACAUCAAGAUUGUCCCAGGGGUGUUGGAAGACAUCUUUUAUCACCUCCUCAGGAUCUGCAACUGGAGAACAGAGAAAACUUGGUUUGGUCGUAAACAAUCAAGUCGAGCUUCUGUGGGUAGCAGAAAGCUUCAAACAACCUUUCUACUACCUAUGAGUAUACAGAAUAUUCCAUCUCUACCAUCUGAACUGACAACUGAGUUCAUCUACUAGGACAAUCCUCCUACCAUGAAUGUACCUGGCUGACAUCUCAAAAGAUAGCCCCCUCCCCCUUUUGUUAUAAUACGCCACCAGUUUUGUUGCUCAUCAGCUUUACUGAUAGACUUAUCAACUGCUCUUGAAAUGCUUGAACCAGUAUCCAUGCUGCUGACAUCUCCAGAAUGGUGGAAAACCAUAUACCCUCUGAAGAUUCUUGGUUCUUCUGUUUAGGCUCCCUUUUGCUGGAUUGUUUGGGGAAGUGUCUUUUGUGUGUGGGGCGGCUGGCUCAUCUAGAUCGCUGUCUGACGUCUGCACAGUCCAAUGUGGUGCUGCUGCUGGUUGUAAGGGGUCUGCUGCUUUGUGGGCCGUACAAAUCUCAUCAACCAUUACAAGGAACUCUUCUAUGGGUGUGAUGGAGGCUUUGGGCGUGGCUGCUACAGUCAGGCACGGUAGUUUGGUGAGGAGUACCUGCCCUACGAGGUCCGAGGAUGAUCCACUGAGGUAUGAGAGAUGUGUAUUUCUGGUGAUAGAAGUUCACUCUCGACGUGGUUCAGAAGUCACAUAAAGCAGUUGGUCUCAUUGCUGAAUAACCACUCGUUCCAUGCACGG